UUUGUAGCUAUCGUAUAUGUUUUUGUGUGCACUGUGUAUGUGUGUGUUUAUGUGCCAUACGAUUUUUGAUCUUGAGUCGUUAGGACGCCUUGAUUUGAUUUUUUUUUACUUAAAUGUAUGUAAAAAACUGUUUUUAGGAUACAAGGCUACGAGCUGCAAGUGACCUUUAAAGGUCAUAGACGUCACGAAGGGAAAAAAAAAACGUUUUGAAGAUAAAGAAAAGUCCAUCUAAACAGUGAUAAUAUAGUUCUUGUGAUAUUUUGUUUUGAAAAAAAAUCGCCAGGAUAUCAGAAUAGAGAGAAAAAUUUGAAUUGAAUCAAUUGUUUGUAACUAGAACAGCAAGGAAAUCAACGUCAAUUUUUGCCAUGAAAAGUUUGGAUUAAAAUUACACGAAAACAAUAUUGUAAGACAACAAGAAUCAUCGAUUAGAAGUUAAUGACCAAAAGAAGAACACCUGUUUUUUUUAUAGGGAUAAGAGUUGACUUCUGGACUUUGUUAAAAAAAAAAACUACAAAUCUGUUACAAACUUUGACCUCUGAACUCUAGUUCAGUAUGUUGCUGAAUGACAUCAUUGGAUAAUUUCCCCCAACGUUGAAUGUUCAUCUGUUUAGCUCAGCGCUGUUUACAUAUAAAAUGUUAACUUUUGUUACUUUUCUGUUUCCAUACUGACCUUACGGACAGGUCUCAAGAACUACUCAAAUAAAGCUGCAUGUCAAAAUACGAGUGGGAAAAGAAUAAAAAAAAGAAAUAAAACAAACCUUGACCCUAAACACACAGAAUGUGUAACUUCAAACCGGUUUUUCACGAGUUUUGCGGCGUGGCUAGUACGUGUAUGAGUACCAUCGGUCUAACCACAGAGGUCAUAGUUCAGCAGGUCAACGACGCCCAGUUGACCCCUAUCUACGCACUGAUGCAGCGAGUCACAUGUG